CGUACUGCAGCAGUAGCUCAACCUGCUCCAGUCAGUACACCACCUCAGCGUAAUGUGACCAUUACACAGCCACCUCAGCGUACUGCAGCAGUAGCUCAACUUGCUCCAGGCAGUACACCACAUCAGCGUACUGUGACCAGUACACGGCCACCUCAGCGUACCGCAGCAGACACCACUCACAGACAUCAUCCAACAGCUGCAUCAGUAUGUAGAUACAAGUGGUACUAAACCUGCGUGAUGUCUCUCAGUAGCGGCUGAGUAUACUGUACGCAACACUCCGCCAAGUACACGGACGCUUGCCCUCAAUGAAGCAAGAUCAGUCGUCUAGUUAAGGACUUCAACUUCCUUUCUUUGUGGCAAUGGGAUUCUGAAUCCUGUACUUUGUACUGCUAUGGACUGUCAGUUGAAGAAUCUGGUCCAUUACAUGGAGAAUACCUGUCCUAGUGGUCAGUCUCUUGAAUUCCUGAAUUAGUUAUGAAUGGGAACGUCUUAAGUCUCAAUCUCUUAGUGAUAGUUUGUUUUUUUUCAAUUUAAAAAUAAUAUUUUGUAACUAAUAUUUAAGUAUUGUUUCAUAACUCUCUAUUAUAAAAUGGACAGUAAAACACUUGUAAUUGACAAAGA